AUACGAACUGCGCGAACGUUAUUCGGAAUCACUGGGCUUAAAGAGUCCGUAGGCGGCUCGGUAGGUGGGGUGUGAAAGCCCACGGCUCAACCGUGGAAUUGCGCUCCAAACCACCGGGCUUGAGGGAGAUAGAGGAGAGUGGAACUGAUGGUGGAGCGGUGAAAUGCGUUGAUAUCAUCAGGAACACCAGUGGCGAAAGCGGCUCUCUGGGUCUCUUCUGACGCUGAGGGACGAAAGCUAGGGGAGCGAACGGGAUUAGAUACCCCAGUAGUCC
rnacentral:rRNA from 1 species